AGUUUGAUCCUGGCUCAGGAUGAACGCUAGCUACAGGCUUAACACAUGCAAGUCGAGGGGCAGCAUGGUCUUAGCUUGCUAAGGCCGAUGGCGACCGGCGCACGGGUGAGUAACACGUAUCCAACCUGCCGUCUACUCUUGGACAGCCUUCUGAAAGGAAGAUUAAUACAAGAUGGCAUCAUGAGUCCGCAUGUUCACAUGAUUAAAGGUAUUCCGGUAGGCGAUGGGGAUGCGUUCCAUUAGAUAGUAGGCGGGGUAACGGCCCACCUAGUCUUCGAUGGAUAGGGGUUCUGAGAGGAAGGUCCCCCACAUUGGAACUGAGACACGGUCCAAACUCCUACGGGAGGCAGCAGUGAGGAAUAUUGGUCAAUGGGCGAGAGCCUGAACCAGCCAAGUAGCGUGAAGGAUGACUGCCCUAUGGGUUGUAAACUUCUUUUAUAAAGGAAUAAAGUCGGGUAUGGAUACCCGUUUGCAUGUACUUUAUGAAUAAGGAUCGGCUAACUCCGUGCCAGCAGCCGCGGUAAUACGGAGGAUCCGAGCGUUAUCCGGAUUUAUUGGGUUUAAAGGGAGCGUAGAUGGAUGUUUAAGUCAGUUGUGAAAGUUUGCGGCUCAACCGUAAAAUUGCAGUUGAUACUGGAUAUCUUGAGUGCAGUUGAGGCAGGCGGAAUUCGUGGUGUAGCGGUGAAAUGCUUAGAUAUCACGAAGAACUCCGAUUGCGAAGGCAGCCUGCUAAGCUGCAACUGACAUUGAGGCUCGAAAGUGUGGGUAUCAAACAGGAUUAGAUACCCUGGUAGUCCACACGGUAAACGAUGAAUACUCGCUGUUUGCGAUAUACUGCAAGCGGCCAAGCGAAAGCGUUAAGUAUUCCACCUGGGGAGUACGCCGGCAACGGUGAAACUCAAAGGAAUUGACGGGGGCCCGCACAAGCGGAGGAACAUGUGGUUUAAUUCGAUGAUACGCGAGGAACCUUACCCGGGCUUAAAUUGCAGAUGAAUUACGGUGAAAGCCGUAAGCCGCAAGGCAUCUGUGAAGGUGCUGCAUGGUUGUCGUCAGCUCGUGCCGUGAGGUGUCGGCUUAAGUGCCAUAACGAGCGCAACCCUUGUUGUCAGUUACUAACAGGUUCCGCUGAGGACUCUGACAAGACUGCCAUCGUAAGAUGUGAGGAAGGUGG
rnacentral:rRNA from 1 species